GACACUGUGGCCACCAGUGACCCAGAAAUCCCACAGCUCCCUGCAAGGACAGGCUGGGUAACCUAUGUGAGGGGCAGCCCUGGCCCCGCCCAAGCCACUUUCCACAAGUAUCAGCUUCUAAGGAACCCCAGCUCCCUUGCCCAGCCCCCUGUCCACCCUGGCCUGGACCUUGGGAGGCCAGGCUGGCUGAGGGUCCUGCGUCCACAGGUGACUGGGAAGUUCCGCGGGGGUGUGAACCCUUUCACCCGAGGCUGCUGUGGGAAUGUGGAGCAUGUGCUGUGUAGCCCCCUGGCGCCCCGGUACGUGGUGGAGCCGCCCCGGCUGCCGCUCGCGGUGAGUUUGAAGCCGCCUUUCCUUAGGCCUGAACUCCUGGACCGAGCUGCACCGCUCAAGGUCAAGCUUAGUGACAACGGGCUGAAGGCUGGCCUGGGCCGUAGCAAGUCCAAGGGCAGCCUGGACCGACUGGAUGAGAAGCCACUGGACUUGGGGCCGCCACUGCCCCCCAAGAUAGAGGCUGGCACGUUCAGCAGUGACCUGCAGACCCCGCGCCCAGGCAGUGCUGAGAGUGCCCUGUCGGUGCAGAGGACCAGCCCCCCGACACCUGCCAUGUACAAGUUUAGGCCGGCUUUCCCCACGGGUCCCAAGGCGCCCUUCUGUGGACCAGGCGAGCAGGUUCCAGGCCCUGAUUCCCUGACCCUGGGGGACGACAGCAUCCGUAGCCUGGACUUUGUGUCCGAGCCAAGCCUGGACCUCCCUGACUAUGGGCCAGGGGGCCUGCACGCAGCCUACCCGCCAUCCCCACCGCUCAGCGCCUCUGAUGCCUUCUCGGGCGCUUUGCGCUCCCUGAGCCUCAAGGCCUCGAGCCGGCGGGGCGGGGACCACGUGGCCCUGCAGCCCCUGCGCU
rnacentral:sRNA from 1 species